rnacentral:rRNA from 1 species
GACGAACGCUGGCGGCGUGCCUAAUACAUGCAAGUCGAGCGCAGGAAACUGACGGAACUCUUCGGAGGGAAGGCAGUGGAAUGAGCGGCGGACGGGUGAGUAACACGUAAGGAACCUGCCUCAAGGAUUGGGAUAACUCCGAGAAAUCGGAGCUAAUACCGGAUAGUUCAACGGACCGCAUGGUCCGCUGAUGAAAGGCGCUCCGGCGUCACCUUGAGAUGGCCUUGCGGUGCAUUAGCUAGUUGGUGGGGUAACGGCCCACCAAGGCGACGAUGCACAGCCGACCUGGGAGGGUGAUCGGCCAAAAUCGGACUGAGGAACGGGCCAGACUCCUACGGGAGGCAGCAGUAGGGAAUCUUCCACAAUGGACGAAAGUCUGAUGGAGCAACGCCGCGUGAGUGAUGAAGGUUUUCGGAUCGUAACACUCUGUUGUAAGGGAAGAACACGUACGAGAGGAAAUGCUCGUACCUUGACGGUACCUUACGAGAAAGCCACGGCUAACUACGUGCCAGCCGCCGCAGUAA